ensembl:lncRNA
CAAAAAGAACAGCAGAAGACUGUCAGACAAAGAUAACAUUGAGUCAUGUCUGAUAGUGAGACCAUUGAGCUAGCCGCUCUGGGCCGGCCGUUCGAACUGGGGAUGCUGUAUGACUGCCGCAGGGAUCUUCUCAUCCCAGGUACAAGAAACAAUUACUGUACUGUUAAGUCUGAAAAUGAUCAACAGCCCUUUUCUUGAAUGAAUUGAAGGUGUUUGUCAACAGUAUAGAGUUGGAUAGUUCUCGAAUGGACAGCACCAUAGAAGGCUUUGACCGUGUAGUAUUCAGCGAAUACAGUGCCACUUUUACAAUGUUUAAAAAUAUAUAUAUAUUUGCUCACAAAAAGCAUUUUAUCCACUAGCUUAAAAUGCUUUAUAAAUGGGCCACCAUCCGGCGCCCCUGCCUAAUAGGCAGUUGGGAGUCAGGUAAACGUAAGGAUGGUGUCAUGGUGCGGUGAGCAGCAGAGCCACCGCGCCAUAUUUUCUCAAUUUCCCAUAUAUCACGAACACAUCCCGGACUGUCACAUGUUUCCCAUCUUCCACACCAGGUCCCAAUUUGUAUCGUUUGUAUGUGUUUAAAUGUUUCCCCUCUGCUUCCCACAUGGUGGAUCAUUGUUGCUGUCGCUGUCAUUGGUGCUGUUCUGUUUGUCCAUUUAAUCGGUGAGUGUUGUUUAAUAUACUGUUUGAAUAUUGCCUGUUAAGACGCAUGUUGCACACUUUUAUUUCAUUCAGUCAUUAGUAUUGUUUUCCAUUCGUGUUUGGUUUGUUUGUUGUGUAUUAAAACCCACAAACGAGAUUACUGCCUGCGCCUGGUUACUAACCAACACGACACCAACAGGAGUGUUACAGAUGGAGGGUUGUCCAUUAUGGUUAACUCUCGCUGGGCACGGAUGUUGCAGUUCUUGCUAUGCACUGUUCAGCAGACCUGGAGCUACUGACAGUAAAGGUACAACACUUCUACCUCCCGUGGGAAUUCAGCUCCCAUAUUAUCACUGCAGUCUACAUACCCUCACUGGCGGAUAAAACAUGUGUGCUGGAAGAUAUGGAGUAAUAAACAGUCUAGAGGAUGCACACCCUGAGGCAGUUUUCAUUGUUGAUGGUGACAUUAACAGGGCAAAUAUGAGGAACUUUUUACCAAAAUACCACCAGCACAUUAACUUCCUGAUCAGACUCUUGACCAUUGUUAUUCACAAAGACGAAAUGGUUACAAACCUCCCCCGCCCAGCGUUUGGUAAGGCAGAUCAUACAUUGAUUUUGCUCCUCCCAUCCUACAGACAACGGCAAAAACAGGAUAAAACGUUUUUUCAGACAGUUCAAUGCUGGAAUGAGGGAUCCAUUACAGCUGUACAGGACUGCUUUGAAACAACAAAUUAGCAGUUGUUCUGUGAUGCAGCCAAUGGGAACAUUGAUGAAUACACAGACUCUGUCACUGCAUGUAUCUCCAAGUGCAUCGAUGAUGUCAUCCCGAGGGUCAAUGUCAGGACUUUCCCCAACUAAAAGCCCUGGGUUGAUGGUAAUGUCUGUGCUAUGCUCAGAGCAUGGUCUCCUGCCUAUAGCUCCGGGAACCUGGAGGCUCUGAGGAGAUCCAGAUAUGACCUACAGAAGGCCAUCAGAGAUAUGAAAAGAGACUACAGGGAUAGGUUGGAGUCUACCUACCACAGCCCGGAC